UAGUCCACGCCCUAAACGAUGUUUACUCGAUGUUUGGACAGUAAGUUUGAGCAUCCAAGGGAAACCAUUAAGUAAACCACCUGGGGAGUACGUCGGCAACGAUGAAACUCAAAGGAAUUGACGGGGGUCCGCAUAAGCGGUGGAGCAUGUGGUUUAAUUCGAUGAUACGCGAGGAACCUUACCUAGGCUAGAAUGUGAUCGCUAUUUCCUGAAAGGGAAAGUUUCUUCGGACACUUUACAAGGUGCUGCAUGGUUGUCGUCAGCUCGUGCCGUGAGGUGUCAGGUUAAGUCCUAUAACGAGCGCAACCCCUGUUGUUAGUUGCCAGCACAUUAUGGUGGGAACUCUAACAAGACUGCCGGUGCAAACCGUGAGGAAGGUGGGGAUGACGUCAAAUCAUCACGGCCCUUACGUCCUGGGGCUACACACGUGCUACAAUGGGUAGGUACAGAGAGCAGCCACUGCGUGAGCAGGGAGCGAAUCUAUAAAACCUAUCUCAGUUCGGGAUCGGGAGU
rnacentral:rRNA from 1 species